rnacentral:rRNA from 1 species
GAUGAACGCUGGCGGCGUGCCUAAUACAUGCAAGUCGAACGAAACUUCUUUAUCACCGAGUGCUUGCACUCACCGAUAAAGAGUUGAGUGGCGAACGGGUGAGUAACACGUGGGCAACCUGCCCAAAAGAGGGGGAUAACACUUGGAAACAGGUGCUAAUACCGCAUAACCAUAGUUACCGCAUGGUAACUAUGUAAAAGGUGGCUAUACUACCGCUUUUGGAUGGGCCCGCGGCGCAUUAGCUAGUUGGUAGGGUAAAGGCUUACCAAGGCAAUGAUGCGUAGCCGAAUUGAGAGGUUGAUCGGCCACAUUGGGACUGAGACACGGCCCAAACUCCUACGGGAAGCAGCAGUAGGGAAUCUUCCACAAUGGGCGAAAGCCUGAUGGAGCAACGCCGCGUGGGUGAAGAAGGUCUUCGGAUCGUAAAACCCUGUUGUUAGAGAAGAAAGUGCGUGAGAGUAACUGUUCACGUUUCGACGGUAUCUAACCAGAAAGCCACGGCUAACUACGUG